rnacentral:tRNA from 1 species
GAGGGUGUAGCUCAAGUGGUAGAGCACAUGCUUAGCAUGCAUGAUCCUGAGUUCAAUCCCCAGUACCUCCU